UACGGGGGGGGCAAGCGUUGUUCGGAAUUACUGGGCGUAAAGGGCUCGUAGGCGGCCAACUAAGUCAGACGUGAAAUCCCUCGGCUUAACCGGGGAACUGCGUCUGAUACUGGAUGGCUUGAAUCCGGGAGAGGGAUGCGGAAUUCCAGGUGUAGCGGUGAAAUGCGUAGAUAUCUGGAGGAACACCGGUGGCGAAGGCGGCAUCCUGGACCGGGAUUGACACUGAGGCGCGAAAGCCAGGGGAGCAAACGGG
rnacentral:rRNA from 1 species